AUUGAACGCUGGCGGCAUGCCUUACACAUGCAAGUCGAACGGUAGCGGGCCUUCGGGUGCCGACGAGUGGCGAACGGGUGAGUAAUGUAUCGGAACGUACCUUUCAGUGGGGGAUAACGUAGCGAAAGCUACGCUAAUACCGCAUAUUCUGUGCGCAGGAAAGCAGGGGACCUUCGGGCCUUGCGCUGAUUGAGCGGCCGAUAUCAGAUUAGCUAGUUGGUGAGGUAAAGGCUCACCAAGGCAACGAUCUGUAGCGGGUCUGAGAGGAUGAUCCGCCACACUGGAACUGAGACACGGUUCAGACUCCUACGGGAGGCAGCAGUGGGGAAUCUUGGACAAUGGGGGCAACCCUGAUCCAGCCAUGCCGCGUGAGUGAAGAAGGCCUUCGGGUUGUAAAGCUCUUUCGGCCGGGAAGAAAUCGUAUCAGCUAAUACCUGGUGCGGAUGACGGUACCGGCAUAAGAAGCACCGGCUAACUACGUGCCAGCCGCCGCCGUAACAC
rnacentral:rRNA from 1 species